GCCUACGGGGGGCAGCAGUGGGGAAUAUUGCCCAAUGGGGGGAACCCUGAUGCAGCGACGCCGCGUGAGUGAAGAAGUAUUUCGGUAUGUAAAGCUCUGUCAGCAGGGAAGAAGAAAGACGGUACCUGACCAAGAAGCCCCGGCUAACUACGUGCCAGCAGCCGCGGUAAUACGUAGGGGGCAAGCGUUAUCCGGAUUUACUGGGUGUAAAGGGAGCGUAGACGGCAGGGCAAGUCUGGAGUGAAAGGCAAGGGCUCAACCCUUGGACUGCUUUGGAAACUGUGCUGCUCGAGUGUCGGAGAGGG
rnacentral:rRNA from 1 species